rnacentral:rRNA from 1 species
GAUGAACGCUGGCGGCGUGCCUAAUACAUGCAAGUCGAGCGAACAGACGAGGAGCUUGCUCCUCUGACGUUAGCGGCGGACGGGUGAGAAACACGUGGAUAACCUACCUAUAAGACUGGGAUAACUUCGGGAAACCGGAGCUAAUACCGGAUAAUAUAUUGAACCGCAUGGUUCAAUAGUGAAAGACGGUUUUGCUGUCACUUAUAGAUGGAUCCGCGCCGCAUUAGCUAGUUGGUAAGGUAACGGCUUACCAAGGCAACGAUGCGUAGCCGACCUGAGAGGGUGAUCGGGCACCCUGUAACUGAGACACGGUCCAGACUCCUACGGGAGGCAGCAGUAGGGAGUCUUCCGCGAUGGGCGAAAGCCUGACGGAGCAACGCCGCGUGGGUGAUGAAGGUCUUCGGAUCGUAAAACUCUGUUAUUAGGGAAGAACAAAUGUGUAAGUAACUAUGCACGUCUUGACGGUACCUAAUCAGAAAGCCACGGCUAACUACGUG